AACUGAACUCAGGGAAGAAGACCCGCCGAAUUUAAACAUAUUACUAAGCGGAGGAAAGGAAACUAACAAGGAUUCCCCUAGUAACGGCGAGUGAAGUGGGAUCAGCUCAAUAUGAAAAGCUGCCGCCUUUGGCGGUCGCCUUGUAACCUUGCGGUGGGGCAAUUGCGGGGAGACGGGUGCAAUUCGUCGUUGAGAUAGCGAGUCGCAGAGGGUAACAACCCCGUGCUGUCCGACUCUCCCCGAACAAGAGCCUCCCGUCGUGAGUCGUGUUGCUUGGGACUGCAAAGGGCGA
rnacentral:rRNA from 1 species